GCAAAAACUUGCAAGUAGAACGCUGAAGAGAGGAGCUUGCUCUUCUUGGAUGAGUUGCGAACGGGUGAGUAACGCGUAGGUAACCUGCCUUGUAGCGGGGGAUAACUAUUGGAAACGAUAGCUAAUACCGCAUAACAAUGGAUGACCCAUGUCAUUUAUUUGAAAGGGGCAAAUGCUCCACUACAAGAUGGACCUGCGUUGUAUUAGCUAGUAGGUGAGGUAACGGCUCACCUAGGCGACGAUACAUAGCCGACCUGAGAGGGUGAUCGGCCACACUGGGACUGAGACACGGCCCAGACUCCUACGGGAGGCAGCAGUAGGGAAUCUUCGGCAAUGGGGGCAACCCUGACCGAGCAACGCCGCGUGAGUGAAGAAGGUUUUCGGAUCGUAAAGCUCUGUUGUAAGUCAAGAACGAGUGUGAGAGUGGAAAGUUCGACACUGGGACGGUAGCUUACCAGAAAGGGACGGCUAACUACGUGCCAGCAGCCGCGGUAAUACGUAGGUCCCGAGCGUUGUCCGGAUUUAUUGGGCGUAAAGCGAGCGCAGGCGGUUUGAUAAGUCUGAAGUUAAAGGCUGUGGCUCAACCAUAGUUCGCUUUGGAAACUGUCAAACUUGAGUGCAGAAGGGGAGAGUGGAAUUCCAUGUGUAGCGGUGAAAUGCGUAGAUAUAUGGAGGAACACCGGUGGCGAAAGCGGCUCUCUGGUCUGUAACUGACGCUGAGGCUCGAAAGCGUGGGGAGCGAACAGGAUUAGAUACCCUGGUAGUCCACGCCGUAAACGAUGAGUGCUAGGUGUUGGAUCCUUUCCGGGAUUCAGUGCCGCAGCUAACGCAUUAAGCACUCCGCCUGGGGAGUACGACCGCAAGGUUGAAACUCAAAGGAAUUGACGGGGGCCCGCACAAGCGGUGGAGCAUGUGGUUUAAUUCGAAGCAACGCGAAGAACCUUACCAGGUCUUGACAUCCCGAUGCUAUUUCUAGAGAUAGAAAGUUACUUCGGUACAUCGGUGACAGGUGGUGCAUGGUUGUCGUCACCUCCUGUCCUGAAAUGUUGGGUUAAGUCCCGCAACGAGCGCAACCCCUAUUGUUAGUUGCCAUCAUUCAGUUGGGCACUCUAGCGAGACUGCCGGUAAUAAACCGGAGGAAGGUGGGGAUGACGUCAAAUCAUCAUGCCCCUUAUGACCUGGGCUACACACGUGCUACAAUGGUUGGUACAACGAGUUGCGAGUCGGUGACGGCAAGCUAAUCUCUUAAAGCCAAUCUCAGUUCGGAUUGUAGGCUGCAACUCGCCUACAUGAAGUCGGAAUCGCUAGUAAUCGCGGAUCAGCACGCCGCGGUGAAUACGUUCCCGGGCCUUGUACACACCGCCCGUCACACCACGAGAGUUUGUAACACCCGAAGUCGGUGAGGUAACCUUUGGAGCCAGCCUACCUAGAGUGUU
rnacentral:rRNA from 1 species